rnacentral:rRNA from 1 species
AUUGAACGCUGGCGGCAGGCCUAACACAUGCAAGUCGAGCGGAGCGGCGGACGGGCGAGUAAGGCCUAGGAAGCGGCCUGGUAGUGGGGGAUGGCGUCCGGAAACGAGCGGUGACACCGCAUAAUAUCAGAUGAGCCUAGGUAGGAUUGGAUAGUUGGUGGGGGAAAGGCUUACCAAGCCGACGAUCCGUAACUGGUCUGAGAGGAUGUACAGUCACACUGGGACUGAGACACGGUCCAGACUCCUGCGGGAGGCAGCAGUGGGGAAUAUUGGACAAUGGGCGCAAGCCUGAUCCAGCCAUGCCGCGUGUAUGAAGAAGGUCUUCGUAUUGUAAAGCACUUUAAGUUGGGAGGCGUUACCAACAGAAUAAGCACCGGCUAACUUCGUGCCAGCAGCCGCGGUAAUUC